UAAUACGGAGGGUGCAAGCGUUAUCCGGAUUCAUUGGGUUUAAAGGGUGCGCAGGUGGGCUUGUAAGUCAGUGGUGAAAUACUGCCGCUUAACGGUAGAACUGCCAUUGAUACUGCGAGUCUUGAAUAUGGUUGAGGUAGGCGGAAUGUGUUGUGUAGCGGUGAAAUGCAUAGAUAUGACACAGAACGCCGAUUGCGAAGGCAGCUUACUAAGCCAUUAUUGACGCUGAGGCACGAAAGCGUGGGUAGCGAACAGGAUUAGAUACCCUGGUAGUCCACGCCGUAAACGAUGUUCACUCGCUGUCUGCGAUACACAGUAGGCGGCUUAGCGAAAGCAUUAAGUGAACCACCUGGGGAGUACGAUCGCAAGGUUG
rnacentral:rRNA from 1 species